GGAUUGCCUUAGUAGCGGCGAGUGAAGCGGCAAAAGCUCAAAUUUGAAAUCUGGCGCCUUCGGUGUCCGAGUUGUAAUUUGAAGAUUGUAACCUUGGAGUUGGCUCUUGUCUAUGUUUCUUGGAACAGGACGUCACAGAGGGUGAGAAUCCCGUGCGAUGAGAUGCCCAAUUCUAUGUAAGGUGCUUUCGAAGAGUCGAGUUGUUUGGGAAUGCAGCUCUAAGUGGGUGGUAAAUUCCAUCUAAAGCUAAAUAUUGGCGAGAGACCGAUAGCGAACAAGUACAGUGAUGGAAAGAUGAAAAGAACUUUGAAAAGAGAGUGAAAAAGUACGUGAAAUUGUUGAAAGGGAAGGGUUUGAGAUUCAGACUCGAUAUUUUGUGAGCCUUGCCUUCGUGGCGGGGUGACCCGCAGCUUAUCGGGCCAGCAUCGGUUUGGGCGGUAGGAUAAUGGCGUAGGAAUGUGACUUUACUUCGGUGAAGUGUUAUAGCCUGCGUUGAUGCUGCCUGCCUAGACCGAGGACUGCGAUUUUAUCAAGGAUGCUGGCAUAAUG
rnacentral:rRNA from 1 species